GUUGACUGCCAGAGUGAUCCAAAGCUGUGACCUCCCGAACCGAAGGUAAAAAUGAUAUGGGAGCUGGACUCUCCAUUUCACCAGGGGAGGUAGAUCCCCAUGUUGCCAGAAUUAUGGAGAAGUUCUAACGAGUGCUUGUGGGUACAACCACCCCAGGAACGUAAGACACUUAGAGGUGGAGGUAAAGUACUGAUCUGCUUUGCAGGUAUGGAGGUCUGCAUUCGCUGGUGAAACUCUG